UACGUAGGGUGCAAGCGUUGUCCGGAUUUAUUGGGUUUAAAGGGUGCGCAGGCGGGCUGUUAAGUUAGUGGUGAAAUCGUCCGGCUCAACCGGAUCUCCGCCAUUGAUACUGGCAGUCUUGAGUGUGUCUGAGGAAGUUGGAAUGCGUGGUGUAGCGGUGAAAUGCAUAGAUAUCACGCAGAACACCAAUUGCGAAGGCAGACUUCUAAGACACAACUGACGCUGAGGCACGAAAGCGUGGGGAGCGAACAGG
rnacentral:rRNA from 1 species